GAUGAACGCUAGCUCCAGGCUUAGCACAUGCAAGUCGAGGGGCAGCGGUAUCGAAAGCUUGCUUUCGGUAGCCGGCGACCGGCGCACGGGUGAGUAACGCGUAUCGAACCUGCCUCAUACUCGGGAAUAGCCUUGCGAAAGUAAGAUUAAUGCCCGGUGUUUUCAGAGUCCCGCAUGAGGCUUUGAACAAAGAUUUAUCGGUAUGAGAUGGCGAUGCGUCCCAUUAGCUUGUUGGCGGGGUAACGGCCCACCAAGGCAUCGAUGGGUAGGGGUUCUGAGAGGAAGGUCCCCCACAUUGGAACUGAGACACGGUCCAAACUCCUACGGGAGGCAGCAGUGAGGAAUAUUGGUCAAUGGGCGGAAGCCUAAACCAGCCAAGUAGCGUGCAGGAAGACGGCCCUCCGGGUUGUAAACUGCUUUUAGUUGGGAAUAAAACGGGGCUCGUGAGCCCCCUUGCAUGUACCAUCAGAAAAAGGACCGGCUAAUUCCGUG
rnacentral:rRNA from 1 species